AGUGAACGCUGGCGGUAGGCCUAACACAUGCAAGUCGAACGGCAGCACAGUAAGCGCUUGCUCUUACGGGUGGCGAGUGGCGGACGGGUGAGGCAUACAUAGGAAUCUACUAUUUCGUGGGGGAUAACGUAGGGAAACUUACGCUAAUACCGCAUACGACCUACGGGUGAAAGCAGGGGAUCUUCGGACCUUGCGCGAUUGUAUGAGCCGAUGUCGGAUUAGCUAGUUGGCGGGGUAAAGGCCCACCAAGGCGACGAUACGUAGCUGGUCUGAGAGGAUGAUCAGCCACACUGGAACUGAGACACGGUCCAGACUCCUACGGGAGGCAGCAGUGGGGAAUAUUGGACAAUGGGCGCAAGCCUGAUCCAGCCAUACCGCGUGGGUGAUGAAGGCCUUCGGGUUGUAAAGCCCUUUUGUUGGGAAAGAAAAGCAGCAGGUUAAUACCCCGCUGUUCUGACGGUACCCAAAGAAUAAGCACCGGCUAACUUCGUG
rnacentral:rRNA from 1 species